rnacentral:rRNA from 1 species
CUGGCGGCAGGCCUAACACAUGCAAGUCGAGCGCUCACUUCGGUGGGAGCGGCGGACGGGUUAGUAACGCGUGGGAAUAUGCCCGGUACUAAGGAAUAGCCUUUGGAAACGAAGAGUAAUACCUUAUACGCCCUUCGGGGGAAAGAUUUAUCGGUAUCGGAUUAGCCCGCGUAAGAUUAGAUAGUUGGUGGAGUAAUGGCCUACCAAGUCUACGAUCUUUAGCUGGUUUUAGAGGAUGAUCAGCAACACUGGGACUGAGACACGGCCCAGACUCCUACGGGAGGCAGCAGUGGGGAAUCUUAGACAAUGGGCGCAAGCCUGAUCUAGCCAUGCCGCGUGAGUGAAGAAGGCCUUAGGGUCGUAAAACUCUUUCGCCAGAGAUGAUAAUGACAGUAUCUGGUAAAGAAACCCCGGCUAACUCCGUGCCAGCAGCCGCGGUAAUACGGAGGGGGUUAGCGUUGUUCGGAAUUACUGGGCGUAAAGCGCACGUAGGCGGACUGGAAAGUUGGGGGUGAAAUCCCGGGGCUCAACCUCGGAACUGCCUCCAAAACUAUCAGUCUAGAGUUCGAGAGAGGUGAGUGGAAUUCCAAGUGUAGAGGUGAAAUUCGUAGAUAUUUGGAGGAACACAGUGGCGAAGGCGGCUCACUGGCCCGAUACUGACGCUGAGGUGCGAAAGUGUGGGGAGCAAACAGGAUUAGAUACCCUGGUAGU